UACGGAGGGUGCAAGCGUUGCUCGGAAUUAUUGGGCGUAAAGGGUAGGUAGGUGGUCUCAUUUGUCUGGGGUGAAAUCCCUGAGCUUAACUCAGGAAGUGCCUCGGAAACGGUGAGACUGGAGUCCUGGAGAGGGUCGUGGAAUUCCCGGUGUAGCGGUGAAAUGCGUAGAGAUCGGGAGGAACACCAGAGGCGAAGGCGGCGACCUGGACAGGAACUGACACUCAACUACGAAAGCGUGGGUAGCAAACAGG
rnacentral:rRNA from 1 species